UUGGAAGUAAAAAAKCGUAACAAGGUUUCGCAAGAACAGUGUCCUUCCCGGUCCUGUGGAAGCCUAUGCAACCGAAAGGGUCCGCGACUAUAAACACCGGAUGCAAGUCGCGCAGCGGCAACAUGAUCGAAUUGCGGGGACGUCCUAAAGCCUGCAGUACCAACGCCUGGGGGAAACCCCCGACGGGCCUGUGCUAAUCACACAGGAGGUUAAAAUCUGCCAGGAUGCACAAUGGAUAAUCCGCAGCGAAGCCCCUACCGGCGCGAGCCCAUGGGGAACGUUCACAGACUAAGUGGUUGUGGGUAGGCUUGUCCUGCUUAAGAUAUAGUCGGGCUCCGGGGAAACUCAGGAGGCUAACCGUUCCGUAGGUGAACCUGCGGAAGGAUCAUUACAGAGUUCAUGCCCUUCGGGGUAGAUCUCCCACCCUUGUGUAAUAUUAUCGAAUGUUGCUUUGGCGGGCCGCAAGCCUGGCUUGCCCGGAUUCGCGUCCGGCGUGCCCGCCAGAGGACCCCUAAAACUCUGAAUGUUAGUGUCGUCUGAGUACUAUUAAAUAGUUAAAACUUUCAACAACGGAUCUCUUGGUUCUGGCAUCGAUGAAGAACGCAGCGAAAUGCGAUAAGUAAUGUGAAUUGCAGAAUUCAGUGAAUCAUCGAAUCUUUGAACGCACAUUGCGCCCCUUGGUAUUCCGGGGGGCAUGCCUGUUCGAGCGUCAUUAAUACCAAUCUAGCCCGGCUAGGUGUUGGGCCUCGCCGUCUGGCGGGCCUUAAAAUCAGUGGCGGUGCUCCUCAGCUCUACGCGUAGUAAUUCUUCUCGCUACAGGGUCUGUGGAGAUACUUGCCAGCAACCCCAAAUUUUUUUCAGGUGACCUCGGAUCAGGUAGGGAUACCCGCUGAACUUAAGCAUAUCA
rnacentral:rRNA from 1 species